UACGUAGGGUCCGAGCGUUGUCCGGAAUUACUGGGCGUAAAGAGCUCGUAGGUGGUUUGUCGCGUUGUCCGUGAAAACUCACAACUCAAUUGUGGGCGUGCGGGCGAUACGGGCAGACUAGAGUACUGCAGGGGAGACUGGAAUUCCUGGUGUAGCGGUGGAAUGCGCAGAUAUCAGGAGGAACACCGAUGGCGAAGGCAGAUCUCUGGGCCGUAACUGACGCUGAGGAGCGAAAGCGUGGGGAGCAAACGGG
rnacentral:rRNA from 1 species